AUUGAACGCUGGCGGCAGGCUUAACACAUGCAAGUCGGGCGGGGAAAGGUAGCUUGCUACCUGACCUAGCGGCGGACGGGUGAGUAAUGUCUGGGAAACUGCCUGAUGGAGGGGGAUAACUACUGGAAACGGUAGCUAAUACCGCAUAACGUCGCAAGACCAAAGAGGGGGACCUUCGGGCCUCUUGCCAUCGGAUGUGCCCAGAUGGGAUUAGCUAGUAGGUGGGGUAACGGCUCACCUAGGCGACGAUCCCUAGCUGGUCUGAAAGGAUGACCAGCCACACUGGAACUGAGACACGGUCCAGACUCCUACGGGAGGCAGCAGUGGGGAAUAUUGCACAAUGGGCGCAAGCCUGAUGCAGCCAUGCCGCGUGUAUGAAGAAGGCCUUCGGGUUGUAAAGUACUUUCAGCGGGGAGGAAGGGAGUAAAGUUAAUACCUUUGCUCAUUGACGUUACCCGCAGAAGAAGCACCGGCUAACUCCGUGCCAGCCGCCGCCGUAA
rnacentral:rRNA from 1 species